UAAGCUGACACCCCACCCACGUCAAAAAAUUCGGCAAAUAGUCUGAGUGGUUAGUGCUCCGUUAGUGCAGGUUUGUGCCGUUAAAACGGUCGUUUGUGCAGCUUUGGUUUCUGAAAUAUUAAAAGUUAUUUUUUAGGUCAUCAGAGUUCACCAUCCCCCAUAUUGCUCCAAA